rnacentral:misc_RNA from 1 species
AAGAGUUAGGGUCUCUCUAGGCCCGACCUCCCAACCCUUUGUUUACUUUGCUGCAUGUUGCUUUGGCGGACCCGUCUCACGACCGCCCUGGGACCGCCGAGAGGUGCCCCUGGGCCCGUGUCCGCCGAUAGCCAACCUAAACUCUUGAAUGAAUCGUGUUUUAUGUCUGAGUCUAUUGAUUAAAUCAAAAGCAA